rnacentral:rRNA from 1 species
UAGGGAAUCUUCGGCAAUGGACGAAAGUCUGACCGAGCAACGCCGCGUGAGUGAAGAAGGUUUUCGGAUCGUAAAACUCUGUUGUUAGAGAAGAACAAGGACGUUAGUAACUGAACGUCCCCUGACGGUAUCUAACCAGAAAGCCACGGCUAACUACGUGCCAGCAGCCGCGGUAAUACGUAGGUGGCAAGCGUUGCCCGGAUUUAUUGGGCGUAAAGCGAGCGCAGGCGGUUUCUUAAGUCUGAUGUGAAAGCCCCCGGCUCAACCGGGGAGGGUCAGUGGGAACUGGGAGACUUGAGUGCAGAAGAGGAGAGUGGAAGUCCAUGUGUAGCGGUGAAAUGCGUAGAUAUAUGGAGGAACACCAGUGGCGAAGGCGGCUCUCUGGUCUGUAACUGACGCUGAGGCUCGAAAGCGUGGGGAGCAAACAGG